GUAGUCCACGCCGUAAACGAUGAGUACUAGGUGUAGGGGGUAUCGACCCCCUCUGUGCCGAAGCUAACGCGAUAAGUACUCCGCCUGGGGACUACGGCCGCAAGGCUAAAACUCAAAGGAAUUGACGGGGGCCCGCACAAGCAGCGGAGCGUGUGGUUUAAUUCGAUGAUACGCGAAGAACCUCACCCAGGUUUGACAUGCACGUGGUACCGAUCCGAAAGGUGAGGGACCCCUCGGGGAGCGUGCACAGGUGUUGCAUGGCCGUCGUCAGCUCGUGCCGUGAGGUGUUGGGUUAAGUCCCGCAACGAGCGCAACCCUUGUCGCCAGUUGUAUUUUUCUGGCGAGACUGCCGAGAAAACCUCGGA
rnacentral:rRNA from 1 species